AUGAUUCUUUUCACCGCAUAUGGCUUCCACGCGCAAAAACAAAUCAUCGACGAUAACCUGUCACUUCUGACGUCUACACAUGAAAGGUCCAACACAUCCAUAUUUUCGAAACUCCACGUCACCGGAACUGCGAAUCACUGCGCCGCCAACUCUGAGCAACCGCCGCCUUUCCGUGCCACCUCCCACAAUUGGAGUACAAGUAAAGAGAAGAAGAAGAAGUGA